rnacentral:rRNA from 1 species
GAUGAACGCUGGCGGCGUGCCUAAUACAUGCGAGUCGAGCGAACAGACGAGGAGCUUGCUCCUCUGACGUUAGCGGCGGACGGGUGAGUAACACGUGGAUAACCUACCUAUAAGACUGGGAUAACUUCGGGAAACCGGAGCUAAUACCGGAUAAUAUAUUGAACCGCAUGGUUCAAUAGUGAAAGACGGUUUUGCUGUCACUUAUAGAUGGAUCCGCGCCGCAUUAGCUAGUUGGUAAGGUAACGGCUUACCAAGGCGACGAUGCGUAGCCGACCUGAGAGGGUGAUCGGCCACACUGGAACUGAGACACGGUCCAGACUCCUACGGGAGGCAGCAGUAGGGAAUCGUCCGCAAUGGGCGAAAGCCUGACGGAGCAACGCCGCGUGAGUGAUGAAGGUCUUCGGAUCGUAAAACUCUGUUAUUAGGGAAGAACAGAUGUGUAAGUAACUAUGCACGUCUUGACGGUACCUAAUCAGAAAGCCACGGCUAACUACGUG